rnacentral:rRNA from 1 species
UGCAGUCGAACGCAGUAGCAAUACUGAGUGGCAAACGGGUGAGUAUAAUGUGGGAAUCUGCCUUUUGGUUUGGAAUAACACGGGGAAACUUGUGCUAAUACCGAAUAAGCCCUUACGGGGAAAGUUUUAAUGCCGAAAGAUGAGCCCGCACUUGAUUAGCUAGUUGGUAAGGUAAAAGCUUACCAAGGCAACGAUCAAUAGCUGUUCUUAGAGGAAGACCAGCCACAUUGGGACUGAGACACGGCCCAGACUCCUACGGGAGGCAGCAGUGGGGAAUCUUGCACAAUGGGGGAAACCCUGAUGCAGCGAUGCCGCGUGAGUGAAGAAGGCCCUUGGGUUGUAAAACUCUUUCGUCGGGGAAGAAAAUGACUGUACCCGAAUAAGAAGGUCCGGCUAACUUCGUGCCAGCAGCCGCGGUAAUACGAAGGGACCUAGCGUAGUUCGGAAUUACUGGGCUUAAAGAGCUCGUAGGUGGUUAAAAAAGUUGAUGGUGAAAUCCCAAGGCUCAACCUUGGAACUGCCAUCAAAACUUUUUAGCUAGAGUGUGAUAGAGGUAAGUGGAAUUUCUAGUGUAGAGGUGAAAUUCGUAGAUAUUAGAAAGAACACCAAAUGCGAAGGCAACUUACUGGGUCACUACUGACACUGAGGAGCGAAAGCAUGGGUAGCGAAGAGGAUUAGAUACCCUCGUAGUCCAUGCCGUAAACGAUGAGUGCUAGACGUUGGGAAUAUAUUUUUCAGUGUCGCAGCGAAAGCAUUAAGCACUCCGCCUGGGGAGUACGACCGCAAGGUUAAAACUCAAAUGAAUUGACGGGGNNCCGCACAAGCAGUGGAGCAUGUGGUUUAAUUCGAAGANACNCGCAGAANCCUUACCAACGCUUGACNUGUUCGUCGCGAGANUAAGAGAUUAGUU